GAUUAUGGCUCAGAACGAACGCUGGUGGCGUGUCUAUACAUGCAAGUCGAGCGAGGCAGCAAUGCCGAGCGGCGAACGGGUGAGUAACGCGUAAGCAAUCUGCCCCAUAUCAGGAAAUACCCGUGCCAACGCGCGGUUAAUGUCCAGGAGAGUGGCCCCCUGCAUGGGGGGUUGACUAGAGAUUUAUCGGUAUGGGAUGAGCUUGCGUCCGAUUAGCUAGUUGGCGGGGCAACGGCCCACAAGGCGACGAUCGGUAGCCGGCCUGAGAGGGUGAUCGGCCACAUUGGGACUGAGAUACGGCCCAGACUCCUACGGGAGGCAGCAGUAGGGAAUAUUGCACAAUGGGGGAAACCCUGAUGCAGCAACGCCACGUGUGGGAAGAAGCAUUUCGGUGUGUAAACCACUGUCAUGAGGGAAUAAGGCCCUUAUUCGUAAGGGAUUGAAUGUACCUUGAGAGGAAGCACCGGCAAACUUCGUGCCAGCAGCGGC
rnacentral:rRNA from 1 species